UCCGUAGGUGGAUAAUUAAGUCAGAGGUGAAAUCCUGCAGCUCAACUGUAGAAUUGCCUUUGAUACUGGUUAUCUUGAGUCAUUAUGAGGUGGUUAGAAUGUGUAGUGUAGCGGUGAAAUGCAUAGAUAUUACACAGAAUACCGAUUGCGAAGGCAGAUCACUAAUAAUGUACUGACACUGAGGGACGAAAGCGUGGGGAGCGAACAGGAUUAGAUACCCUGGUAGUCC
rnacentral:rRNA from 1 species